UACAGAGGUCUCAAGCGUUGUUCGGAUUCAUUGGGCGUAAAGGGUGCGUAGGCGGCGCGGUAAGUCGGGUGUGAAAUCUCGGGGCUUAACUCCGAAACUGCAUUCGAUACUGCCGUGCUUGAGGACUGGAGAGGAGACUGGAAAUUUACGGUGUAGCGGUGAAAUGCGUAGAUAUCGUAAGGAAGACCAGUGGCGAAGGCGGGUCUCGUGGACAGUUCCUGACGCUGAGGCAACGAAGGCCAGGGGAGCAAACGGG
rnacentral:rRNA from 1 species